rnacentral:rRNA from 1 species
AUUGAACGCUGGCGGAAUGCUUUACACAUGCAAGUCGAACGGCAGCACGGGGGCAGCCCUGGUGGCGAGUGGCGAACGGGUGAGUAAUACAUCGGAACGUGCCCGGUCGUGGGGGAUAACGUAGCGAAAGUUACGCUAAUACCGCAUACGAUCUGAGGAUGAAAGCGGGGGACCUUCGGGCCUCGCGCGAUCGGAGCGGCCGAUGUCAGAUUAGGUAGUUGGUGGGGUAAAGGCCUACCAAGCCGACGAUCUGUAGCUGGUCUGAGAGGACGACCAGCCACACUGGGACUGAGACACGGCCCAGACUCCUACGGGAGGCAGCAGUGGGGAAUUUUGGACAAAGGGCGCAAGCCUGAUCCAGCCAUUCCGCGUGCAGGACGAAGGCCUUCGGGUUGUAAACUGCUUUUGUACGGAACGAAAAGGCUCUGGCUAAUACCUGGGGCUCAUGGCGGUACCGUAAGAAUAAGCACCGGCUAACUACGUG